rnacentral:rRNA from 1 species
AAAUGCUUUCGCAGUAGUUAGUCUUCAAUAAAUCCAAGAAUUUCACCUCUGACAAUUGAAUACUAAUGCCCCCAACUAUCCCUAUUAAUCAUUACGUCAAUCCUAGAAACCAACAAAAUAGGAUCGAACGUCCUAUUUCAUUAUUCCAUGCUAAUGUAUUCAAGCGUUAGCCUGCUUUAAACACUCUAAUUUUUUCAAAGUAACAGUCCAGAUUCCCCGCAACACCAAAUUAAUGGCAUUAUAGUUCGUCAGAAAAGAGAAACCGAUUAUACCAGUACGUACAAAAGCACG